rnacentral:rRNA from 1 species
AGAACGAACGCUGGCGGCAUGCCUAACACAUGCAAGUCGAACGCUCACCGGGCUUCGGUUCGGUGGGAGUGGCGCACGGGUGAGUAGCGCGUGGGAACCUGCCCUGUUGUGGGGGAUAACCGAGGGAAACUUCGGCUAAUACCGCAUGCGCCCGGGGAAACCCGGGGAAAGAUUUAUCGCAGCAGGAGGGGCCCGCGUCGGAUUAGGUAGUUGGUAGGGUAACGGCCUACCAAGCCUUUGAUCCGUAGCUGGUCUGAGAGGAUGAUCAGCCACACUGGGACUGAGACACGGCCCAGACUCCUACGGGAGGCAGCAGUGGGGAAUAUUGGACAAUGGGCGCAAGCCUGAUCCAGCAAUGCCGCGUGAGUGAUGAAGGCCUUAGGGGUUGUAAAGCUCUUUCGCCCGCGACGAUGAUGACGGUAGCGGGAGAAGAAGCCCCGGCUAACUUCGCGCCAGCAGCCGC